rnacentral:rRNA from 1 species
GACGAACGCUGGCGGCGUGCUUAACACAUGCAAGUCGAACGGUAAGGCCCUUCGGGGUACACGAGUGGCGAACGGGUGAGUAACACGUGGGUGAUCUGCCCUGCACUCCGGGAUAAGCCUGGGAAACUGGGUCUAAUACCGGAUAGGACUCCGGACUGCAUGGUCUGGGGUGGAAAGCUUUUGCGGUGUGGGAUGGGCCCGCGGCCUAUCAGCUUGUUGGUGGGGUGAUGGCCUACCAAGGCGAAGACGGGUAGCCGGCCUGAGAGGGUGACCGGCCACACGGGGACUGAGAUACGGCCCAGACUCCUACGGGAGGCAGCAGUGGGGAAUAUUGCACAAUGGGCGCAAGCCUGAUGCAGCGACGCCGCGUGAGGGAUGACGGCCUUCGGGUUGUAAACCUCUUUCAGCAUCGACGAAGCGAAAGUGACGGUAGGUGCAGAAGAAGGACCGGCCAACUACGUGCCAGCCGCCGCAGUAA